rnacentral:misc_RNA from 1 species
CAGAGCGAUUCCCGAAAGGCUGCUUUACACAACCAUUGCGAACCUAUCCUUCAUCGUUGCUUCGGCGGGUACUCGCCCCCCUCGGGGCCUGCGCUGCUGGCCCUCGGCCAGGCCGCCCGCCGGGAGGUACUAAACUCUUUAUAUCUUGAGAAUCUUCUGAGUAGUAUGCAAGCAAAUAAGUCA